UUCCAAAUCAUACAAAAUUUACAUCCAAUUUAUAUCCAAAAACCUAAACUUCAUGAUCUUAGCCUCUAAAGCUCAAGUGACUUCGAAAGAAAAACUCUAAUUCCUAAUAAGGUCUCGGGCAGCCUCCUUGAAGCCCAUUGAGCAUGGCCUUCGACCAAUAGGAAUGAAGAACUCCAUUCCUUGCUUUCAUCUAAUCAUAUCUUGCUUUCAUAUCUUCCAAUAAACCUCCUACUAGUUAAGAUUUUCAUCUUUAGGUUCUAAUCUUGUUUCAAGGCUUCAUAUUCAAUACUUAGGUUCUAUAAUUUUUUUAAAUGUUA
rnacentral:lncRNA from 1 species